GGUUAAGCGACUAAGCGUACACGGUGGAUGCCCUGGCAGUCAGAGGCGAUGAAGGGCGUGCUAAUCUGCGAUAAGCGCCGGUAAGGUGAUAUGAACCGUUAUAACCGGCGAUACCCGAAUGGGGAAACCCAGUGUGACUCGUCACACUAUCAUUAACUGAAUCCAUAGGUUAAUGAGGCGAACCGGGGGAACUGAAACAUCUAAGUACCCCGAGGAAAAGAAAUCAACCGAGAUUCCCCCAGUAGCGGCGAGCGAACGGGGAGGAGCCCAGAGCCUGAAUCAGCAUGUGUGUUAGUGGAAGCGUCUGGAAAGGCGCGCGAUACAGGGUGACAGCCCCGUACACAAAAGCGCAUGUGCUGUGAGCUCGAUGAGUAGGGCGGGACACGUGGUAUCCUGUCUGAAUAUGGGGGGACCAUCCUCCAAGGCUAAAUACUCCUGACUGACCGAUAGUGAACCAGUACCGUGAGGGAAAGGCGAAAAGAACCCCGGCGAGGGGAGUGAAAAAGAACCUGAAACCGUGUACGUACAAGCAGUGGGAGCACAGGUUUACCUGUGUGACUGCGUACCUUUUGUAUAAUGGGUCAGCGACUUAUAUUCUGUAGCAAGGUUAACCGAAUAGGGGAGCCGGAGGGAAACCGAGUCUUAAUUGGGCGUUAAGUUGCAGGGUAUAGACCCGAAACCCGGUGAUCUAGCCAUGGGCAGGUUGAAGGUUGGGUAACACUAACUGGAGGACCGAACCGACUAAUGUUGAAAAAUUAGCGGAUGACCUGUGGCUGGGGGUGAAAGGCCAAUCAAACCGGGAGAUAGCUGGUUCUCCCCGAAAGCUAUUUAGGUAGCGCCUCGUGAAUUCAUCUCCGGGGGUAGAGCACUGUUUCGGCUAGGGGGCCAUCCCGGCUUACCAACCCGAUGCAAACUGCGAAUACCGGAGAAUGUUAUCACGGGAGACACACGGCGGGUGCUAACGUCCGUCGUGAAGAGGGAAACAACCCAGACCGCCAGCUAAGGUCCCAAAGUCAUGGUUAAGUGGGAAACGAUGUGGGAAGGCCCAGACAGCCAGGAUGUUGGCUUAGAAGCAGCCAUCAUUUAAAGAAAGCGUAAUAGCUCACUGGUCGAGUCGGCCUGCGCGGAAGAUGUAACGGGGCUAAACCAUGCACCGAAGCUGCGGCAGCGACACUGUGUGUUGUUGGGUAGGGGAGCGUUCUGUAAGCCUGUGAAGGUGGCCUGUGAGGGUUGCUGGAGGUAUCAGAAGUGCGAAUGCUGACAUAAGUAACGAUAAAGCGGGUGAAAAGCCCGCUCGCCGGAAGACCAAGGGUUCCUGUCCAACGUUAAUCGGGGCAGGGUGAGUCGACCCCUAAGGCGAGGCCGAAAGGCGUAGUCGAUGGGAAACAGGUUAAUAUUCCUGUACUUGGUGUUACUGCGAAGGGGGGACGGAGAAGGCUAUGUUGGCCGGGCGACGGUUGUCCCGGUUUAAGCGUGUAGGUGUGUGUUCCAGGUAAAUCCGGUUCACUUUAACACUGAGGCGUGAUGACGAGGCACUACGGUGCUGAAGCAACAAAUGCCCUGCUUCCAGGAAAAGCCUCUAAGCAUCAGGUAACAUCAAAUCGUACCCCAAACCGACACAGGUGGUCAGGUAGAGAAUACCAAGGCGCUUGAGAGAACUCGGGUGAAGGAACUAGGCAAAAUGGUGCCGUAACUUCGGGAGAAGGCACGCUGACACGUAGGUGAAGUGAUUUACUCAUGGAGCUGAAGUCAGUCGAAGAUACCAGCUGGCUGCAACUGUUUAUUAAAAACACAGCACUGUGCAAACACGAAAGUGGACGUAUACGGUGUGACGCCUGCCCGGUGCCGGAAGGUUAAUUGAUGGGGUCAGCGCAAGCGAAGCUCCUGAUCGAAGCCCCGGUAAACGGCGGCCGUAACUAUAACGGUCCUAAGGUAGCGAAAUUCCUUGUCGGGUAAGUUCCGACCUGCACGAAUGGCGUAAUGAUGGCCAGGCUGUCUCCACCCGAGACUCAGUGAAAUUGAACUCGCUGUGAAGAUGCAGUGUACCCGCGGCAAGACGGAAAGACCCCGUGAACCUUUACUAUAGCUUGACACUGAACAUUGAGCCUUGAUGUGUAGGAUAGGUGGGAGGCUUUGAAGUGUGGACGCCAGUCUGCAUGGAGCCGACCUUGAAAUACCACCCUUUAAUGUUUGAUGUUCUAACGUGGACCCGUAAUCCGGGUUGCGGACAGUGUCUGGUGGGUAGUUUGACUGGGGCGGUCUCCUCCUAAAGAGUAACGGAGGAGCACGAAGGUUGGCUAAUCCUGGUCGGACAUCAGGAGGUUAGUGCAAUGGCAUAAGCCAGCUUGACUGCGAGCGUGACGGCGCGAGCAGGUGCGAAAGCAGGUCAUAGUGAUCCGGUGGUUCUGAAUGGAAGGGCCAUCGCUCAACGGAUAAAAGGUACUCCGGGGAUAACAGGCUGAUACCGCCCAAGAGUUCAUAUCGACGGCGGUGUUUGGCACCUCGAUGUCGGCUCAUCACAUCCUGGGGCUGAAGUAGGUCCCAAGGGUAUGGCUGUUCGCCAUUUAAAGUGGUACGCGAGCUGGGUUUAGAACGUCGUGAGACAGUUCGGUCCCUAUCUGCCGUGGGCGCUGGAGAACUGAGGGGGGCUGCUCCUAGUACGAGAGGACCGGAGUGGACGCAUCACUGGUGUUCGGGUUGUCAUGCCAAUGGCACUGCCCGGUAGCUAAAUGCGGAAGAGAUAAGUGCUGAAAGCAUCUAAGCACGAAACUUGCCCCGAGAUGAGUUCUCCCUGAGACUUAGAGUCUCCUGAAGGAACGUUGAAGACGACGACGUUGAUAGGCCGGGUGUGUAAGCGCAGCGAUGCGUUGAGCUAACCGGUACUAAUGAACCGUGAGGCUUAACCUU
rnacentral:rRNA from 2 species